AGUGAACGCUGGCGGUAGGCCUAACACAUGCAAGUCGAACGGCAGCACAGUAAGAGCUUGCUCUUACGGGUGGCGAGUGGCGGACGGGUGAGGAAUGCAUCGGAAUCUACUUUUUCGUGGGGGAUAACGUAGGGAAGCUUACGCUAAUACCGCAUACGACCUACGGGUGGAAGCAGGGGAUCUUCGGACCUUGCGCGAUUGAAUGAGCCGAUGUCGGGUUAGCUAGUUGGCGGGGUAAAGGCCCCCCAAGGCGACGAUCCGUAGCUAGUCUGAGAGGAUGAUCAGCCACACUGGACGUGAGACACGGCCCAGACUCCUAGGGGAGGCAGAAGUGGGGAAUAGUGGAAAAUGGGCGCAAGCCUGAUCCAGCCAUACCGGGGGGGUGAAGAAGGCCUUCGGGUGGUAAAGCCCUUUUGUUGGGAAAGAAAAGCAGCAGGUUAAUACCCCGCUGUUCGGACGGUACCCAAAGAAUAAGCACCGGCUAACAUCGG
rnacentral:rRNA from 1 species